GGGUCAGUACACUAGAGAUGGUGCUCGGCUCAGUACGUCGUAACAAGGUGCCCCCUGGAUGUUGAGCGGCGGACGGGUGAGUAAUGUCUGGGAAACUGCCUGAUGGAGGGGGAUAACUACUGGAAACGGUAGCUAAUACCGCAUAACGUCGCAAGACCAAAGAGGGGGACCUUCGGGCCUCUUGCCAUCAGAUGUGCCCAGAUGGGAUUAGCUAGUAGGUGGGGUAAUGGCUCACCUAGGCGACGAUCCCUAGCUGGUCUGAGAGGAUGACCAGCCACACUGGAACUGAGACACGGUCCAGACUCCUACGGGAGGCAGCAGUGGGGAAUAUUGCACAAUGGGCGCAAGCCUGAUGCAGCCAUGCCGCGUGUGUGAAGAAGGCCUUCGGGUUGUAAAGCACUUUCAGCGAGGAGGAAGGUGGUGAGCUUAAUACGCUCAUCAAUUGACGUUACUCGCAGAAGAAGCACCGGCUAACUCCGUGCCAGCAGCCGCGGUAAUACGGAGGGUGCAAGCGUUAAUCGGAAUUACUGGGCGUAAAGCGCACGCAGGCGGUUUGUUAAGUCAGAUGUGAAAUCCCCGGGCUCAACCUGGGAACUGCAUUUGAAACUGGCAAGCUAGAGUCUCGUAGAGGGGGGUAGAAUUCCAGGUGUAGCGGUGAAAUGCGUAGAGAUCUGGAGGAAUACCGGUGGCGAAGGCGGCCCCCUGGACGAAGACUGACGCUCAGGUGCGAAAAGCGUGGUGGAGCAAAACAGGAUUAGAUACUCUUGGUAGUCCACGCUGUAAACGAUGUCGAUUUUGGAGGUUGUGCCCUUGAUGAGUGCCUUCCGGAUCUAAACCAGUUAU
rnacentral:rRNA from 1 species